UCCGGCUUAUCACCGGCAGUCCCACUAGAGUGCCCAACUAAAUGCUGGCAACUAAUGGCGAGGGUUGCGCUCGUUGCGGGACUUAACCCAACAUCUCACGACACGAGCUGACGACAGCCAUGCAGCACCUGUGUUACGGUUCCCUUUCGGGCACACCUCCAUCUCUGGAGGCUUCCGUACAUGUCAAGGGUAGGUAAGGUUGUUCGCGUUGCAUCGAAUUAAUCCACAUCAUCCACCGCUUGUGCGGGUCCCCGUCAAUUCCUUUGAGUUUUAAUCUUGCGACCGUACUCCCCAGGCGGAUCACUUCACGCGUUAGCUACGGUACUGGAAAAUCGCUUCCCCAACACCUAGUGAUCAUCGUUUAGGGCGUGGACUAC
rnacentral:misc_RNA from 1 species